UACAGAGGGGGCAAGCGUUGUUCGGAAUUACUGGGCGUAAAGGGCGCGUAGGCGGCCUUCUAAGUCGAACGUGAAAUCCCCGGGCUCAACCCGGGAACUGCGUCCGAUACUGGAAGGCUUGAAUCCGGGAGAGGGAUGCGGAAUUCCAGGUGUAGCGGUGAAAUGCGUAGAUAUCUGGAGGAACACCGGUGGCGAAGGCGGAUCUCUGGGCCUUACCUGACGCUGAGGAGCGAAAGCAUGGGGAGCAAACAGG
rnacentral:rRNA from 1 species